GAUCCUGCAGGUAGUGUCCGCGUGGGAGGGGAGGUGCAGCCGUCAGCGCUGCCGGCGGCUCCCGUUACGUGAAUUAGUGAGAGGUUCCCAGGAAACGAUGCCAGCGCUUUGAGUAGCGAAGAGGUGGAGAAAUAGCCCGGGCCGUUUGCAAGCUUUGAAGGAUGAUGCUGGCCUCAUAAAAUGAGUUGGGAGGAUUCCCUCUUUUUCUAUUGAUUGGAAUAGUUUCAGAAGGAAUGGUACCAGUUCUUCCUUGUACCUCUGGUAGAAUUCGGCUGUGAAUCCAUCUGGUCCUGGACUCUUUUUGGUUGAGACCGUCCAGGCUGGACUUGAACUCCUUCCUCGGCUGAAGUGAUCCUCCUGCCUCAGCGUCCUGAAUAGGAAGUGGAGCCAGAAUCCACAGAUGUCAUUAUCCAUCUGCACACUUUGUUUACUACCCAGAAGGCAAGAAUAUUGCAUUUUAAAAGUGCCCGGACUUUUGUUCUUUCUUAUCACAAAUGACUUGGGAAGCUCCGACCACUCAUGUUUACCCCGAGUGAAAGUCCCAUUCAAAGCCUUGCUUCCUGGAGAGCUUUGAGAUUCUGGUACAAAAGGCAUUUUAUAAGCACAAAGUGGAAAAGCAUCAUUCAUAUUCAUUUGCUGCUGCGGCAUUUCUCCCUGGAAUCUUCCUCUUGUCUGUCAACAUUGGGCAAAAGGACUGGCCUCAUCUACAUUACAGAUAUCCUUGUGAUGGUCUGGAGGUAGGAAAAGGACACCCAGCACAAGAGUGAGAAGGGAAACUCAAGCUCUCCUGUUGGAGAGUCUCAGGCUUCUUUAUCCAUAAAACUGAUUGGACAUAAUUGGUGUGGGUUUAUGAUUUGUUUUGGAAAAACCUGAGUAUGAAAUCAAUACUGUGCUUUGUGCAUCUUGGC
ensembl:lncRNA EDRF1-DT EDRF1 divergent transcript